rfam:Hordeum vulgare subsp. vulgare, WGS project CAJW01000000 data, contig: morex_contig_2551586
AUAAUAUUCCCUUCGUCCGAAAAUACUUGUCCCAAAAAUGGAUAUAAUGAAUGUAUUUAUAAUUAAAAUAAGUCUAGAUACAUUCAUCUUUAAGACAAGUAUUUUCGGACGGAGGGAGUACAAA